rnacentral:lncRNA from 1 species
AUACAUUCAAAUUGAGGUAAAAUACACAGAAAUAAAGUAAACACACAAGAGGCUCUAGGUCGUCCCCGGCCUAAAUAAAGAAAAUGAAAAGGAAAUGAAGAGAAAAGUCCUAAGUUAACUUAUACUACGACUUCUCCACCAUGCUCGCCAAGGCCUCCAAUAUAUUUACAUAGUUCUUCGGGGCAUACCCCGUAUAAUAAUAUAUACAAAUUUCACGAGGCAUUCCCCGAAUAUAUUUAACUACGGGAACGACCUCUCGCCUCAAAUUAACAAAAAUCCUAAAGUUUUCCUACCAAUGUAUGGUCGGCCUAAGCAUACUCCUAUCGAUCAAAUCAAUAAAAUAAAAUAAUAAAUGUAUAACAUUCAAAUCUCAAUUUGUUUUUUUCUAUUCCAGCACCACUUCCCAACUUCAUUUCACUGAUCUUGACCAAAAUUUCUUUUCGAAAGAUUGUCAUUCCGCAACCCAUUUUGAUUGGAAGCUUUCAAAGCACUACUUCCUUACUCUUUCUUUUAGCUGGGCUUACUAACAAUAAAACGAUUCAACAAUAAUUCUCAAAUGGAAAACAACAGAAAUUCCAACCAGACAAAUGUAUGUAUAAUCUCAAUAACAUAUGGUUUCAAUUCAUAAAAACAACAGCAAAUACACACAUAGUUGAGGAGAAGAGUAAGAAAUAAACCUCGGUAUAGAUGGAAAUUGAUUACUUCACCGGUUUGAACUCAAAAAUAUGACGAACCGCGGACGGUACUCGAACGAACCAACCCCAAAUAGAAAUUCCAAUGAAUCGGAUUUGAAUUCAGUUCCAACACUUAGAGAAAAAUUCAUUUUAGGACCCAAAUUCUGAAAAUAAAAAGAUGAACAGAUUUUUCUUUUCUCAAUUCGUUUUUUUUCUCUUUACUUACUUUUCCCAUUUAGUUGACUUUAUGUGUGUACAGUUUUGCGAUCAGAUGAGUUGUGUGUGAUUCCUUGGUUUUUGAGUGGAGGAGCUAAUGGUGGGUUCGAGUGGUCGGUGACUAUGUUAUUUCGGCGAGAUUGUCACUGUUUCUGCUCGAUUUUUGGCGAACUGUGGUGGUCUCGAUAGCUUUCGCUGCCUGAUUUUUGGAGAAGAUGAAGCGAAGGGGGUGUCGUUUGGUCGAAGAAGAAUAGCGAUUGGUUGUAGGUUAUAUUGCGGCUGUCCUCGGCUCAACUCUACUGUUCAGAUUUUUUUCGGCCUUCAUUUUUCACAUUGUCGGCGUUACUUUUGGUCUCUCCCUUGAAAAAGCUGCACUCCUCUCCCUUUGUCUAGGUUCUAAGGAAGAAAGGUUAUGGUUGGUCUUUUAAGGUUUUUUCUAGGUUUGGGCUUUUGGUUUAGUGAGCUAAAGAAAAUUUGGGCCGAGAAUUGGACCUUUCAAGAUAUAAAAUUGGCACAAAAUUCAUUCUUCGUUUUCGAGUGUAAAAUCAAAGUAUCACAGAUAAUAAAAAACUAAUUAACAGUUGACUUUAACUGACAUGGAAUUAAAAUGAAAUUAUUAUUAUUACAUUUUUUCCAAAGACUAUACUAAAAAUAGAAUAAUUAGAUUAAAUUUCAUUGUAAAAUUAAAAUAAUAUUACUACCAAAACACUAAUAUCUUUGAAAACGAAGUAAAACUAUUUUUUGUAUUUUUGAAUUUUAUGAAAGAUAGAUAUACUAAAGUAACUAGCUAAAAGAAAAAAAUAUUUUUUGUAAUUUUUAUUUUUGUUUUAAAUUAAAGUAAAAUAGUUAAAAUUAGUUAAAAUAACGAUAUUAGGCCCUAUAUUUUUGCUAUUUUUUUUUGUUUUAAAUUAAAGUAAAAUAGUUAAAACUAGUUAAAGUAACGAUAUUAGGCCCUAACUAACUAUCUUAAGGCUAAAAUAUGUGAAAUUUCAGGGAGGGUAGAAAAUUACAUGUCUACAGCUACCCCUCUUUGACUGGAAAUACAAAGUAUUUUCAGACAAAGAACGACUAGACAUGUUUUUUGACCUAACCCUUAUUUGGAGAAAGUAAACUUAAGAGAAAAGGGAAUGUGACCGAGUCCUAGUAUCUGAGCUGCCUACAUAUCCUUGGCUAUAAAAGAAUCAGGUCACGUGUAGUUCAGAAGUAAAUGAGAUGAUGGAGUAUACAGAGGUGGAAAGCCGAUCGAGGUGUCAUUCCAUCGAGGUUCUGGUCUGCGGUCCUGUUAUUACAUCAAAAAUCAAAAAUGAAAAAGACUAACUAAGCUUGUCAACUAUGAGUUAUUCCUAUCUGUAAAUCUUCUAAAGCUUGAUCUUGUGUCUUGAAUAGUUCUUCAUGCAGACUUCAGAUCUGAACCUUGAUGCUCACUAGCUGCAGGUGCUAGUUCAUUCUUCUUCAGCUUUUCGGAUUAGAACUGGACACACCAUGCUUGUGACUUCAGUCAUGUCUUGAGCACUCCACCUCUUGUCUCGACUUCUGCAUUUUUGAUUUUUUUUUUCUAUUUUUUUAGACUACUUUUGUUGGUCACCGAGCAAAGGCUUUAGCCAAAUCGUCCCAUGUGUACCACAUGUUGGCGUCCUGGCGGGUAUACCAUUCUAGAGCUGCCCCCUCAAGCUGUGACUGAAAUACGCCAUCAGUAAUUUGUCUUUUCCCCCAGCGCCUCUCAUCUUACUGCAAUAACCUCUCAGAUGAGCUACAGGGCCCCUAUGUCCGUCAUACAUGUUUAACUUAGGCAUCCUGAACCCGACAAGCAGUUAGACAUCGGGGAAUUAACACAAAUCCUUAUAGGCCACACUCUGGUUUCCAACCGUUGGAUAUUUUUCAGUGAUUGCUCUAGACUCUGUACCUUCCUAAAUAUCUCUUCUUUCUCUGUGUUCUUGGGUGGUUUGUUAAUGUUAACAUGAGGCUCAAAUUGGGGAGUGUAAGGGCAAGUAUCUGGGAUUCUGAAUGUGGGCUCUGGUGCAUAGUAUUGGGUAUCUAGAGUUUGUAAUGCGAUUUUUUUGCCUAGUGGAGCAUGGAAAGUUUGGGAGGAAGUUCGAGGGUAAUUGUGGUAAAGGGUAAAACCCGGUACAUGUUGAGGGAAAGAUUAACGGUAGUGGGAAUCUGGGCUUGUGAUAGUGGUGGGAUGGUUGUAAGGUUUUCAGUAUAGUUAGCGGGGGAAUGAAGAUAGAUGAUGUCCCCUGAUCCAAGACUAAUACAUUUCCGUCAUCUUUGUUUCAACCUUUGGACCUCUUCUUUCAAUUCAGAUUCCGACUUCUCAAUCUCCUUCGAAGGUCAACAACUCUUGCGUCCAAGUCUUUGCUAGCCAUGUGUACCUUACUCUUUGACCUCGUGUUGUAUGGAUGACUCGCUAGAAGGCCAAAACCAACCAUCCUCUGUUAUGAUAACAUUGAAAGUAACAAAGAGGAGCAAACAAAGACAACAUGUUAGCGUUAGGGCAUUAGUAAAAUAAAAAUAUCACAUUGCAUGAAAUGCCCCUAGCAAUAAUUAACAGUUCUAGAAUGGCUUCAAGGGUACGAAGGUCAUAUGACAUCAUCCCAACUUCACUCUUCUUUCCCCAUUUCCUCUUCAUUUUUUUUAACCCUCUUUGGUUUUUCAUUUUCUUUCCUCCCUUUUCUUUUGAUUACCAUUCUUUCCUUUCCACUAAUUUCUUAAAUCCCACAAUUUCAUUCUCUUUUUUUCUUUUUUUUCUUUUUUCUUUUUAAUGCUUCGAUCGAACUCUAUGUAGGUUGUCUACGUAUCAUGUCCUUCAUAAAUCAGAUCAAGCGUAGUUCUUGAAAAGUAAUGGACAAAAUAAACUAAGAAAAUAAUUUUUGUAUUUUCAUUUAUAACUUUUUUUUAAAAUACAAAAUGGGAAGUAAUAUAACAAAUGACUCGAAAAUCUUAACAAGACUGACAGACCCAAUACUACUGUACAAGACUAAUAAUUAAAAGACAACAUGAAUGACAGACUCAAAACAUAAAAGUAUUCUAUAAGCAGCUCUUAAAUGCAGUGGUCCUGGGGUUGUUAUGCUCGAGCUGUGGUACAUUAAUCAUACCAGAAUAAGAAAAAUAAGACCAAAAAGCGUUAAUGACUCAAGACACAUGUGAAGCACGAUACCUCCUACAAAAAAUAACCCAAUUUGCAAUAAUAGCCGAUGUGGCCUAAAGUGGCUAGACAUACGAUUUGGCCAAGACCCUGCAAAGCCAGGAACCUAAGACUAGAAAGAUCGGACCCUAUGUGGGUUGCUUAAGUAUCUCGCCUCGAAAGACGAGAAUCAGGUUCUCGUAUUUCGGAAAGAUAUAACUAAUUUGAAAAAACAUAUAUUUUUGUUUUUUCUUUUUGAAAAAUAAUGAAAAAUGUAAACUCUUUUUGGAUUUUCUUUUUCUCCUUUUUCUUUUAAAUUUUUGGAAAAUGAUAGAAAAUGCAAAAUCUUUUUGGAUUUUCUAUUUUUUAAAAAUAAUAGAAAAGUGUAAAUCUCUUUGAAUUUUUAAUAUAAAAUCUCUUUGGAUUUUCUAUUUUUGGAAAAUAAUGGGAAAGUGUACAAUCUUUUUGGAAUUUUCUUUUACCCCCUUUUUUGAAUUUUUUGAAAAAUAAUGGAAAGUGCAAAAUCUUUUGGGAUUUUUCUUCUUUUUCAUUUUUUGAAUUUUUUUUGGAAAAUAAUGAAAAAGUGUAAAAUCUUUUUUGGAUUUUUCAUUUUCAUUUUUGUAAAUUUUUGGGAGAGUGAUGGCAAAGUGUAAAAUCUUUUGGAUUUUCUAUUUUUAUUUUUUGAAUUUUUGGAAAAUAAUGGAAAAGUAUAAAAUCUUUUUGGAUUUUUUAUUUUUAUUUUUUGAAUUUUUGAAAAAUAUGGAAAAGUGUAAAAUAUUUAUUAUUUUCUAUUUUUAAUUUUUUUGUAGAUUUUUUAAGGACGAUGAAAGAAAAAUGCGAAUGCGCCCUACUUGCUUCAUUUUUCACCCUUCUUCCCAAAUAUCGGUCCACCAAAUGAUAUUUUUACCCUCAAAUAUGCAACAUGUAUCACACAGGGAUAAUUAAUUAUCUUUUUCGGCCAGACAUAAUUUGGAUAGGCCUCCUACAACGGGACACAGUGCUUGGGAUUGUACCCUACUAAGUUUAAAGAUAUGAUGCACAUAAGUAUGACCUAAAGACUUACAUAGGUUGGGGUUCACUAGACAAGGCAAUUUGGGGCGGCACGUGGUCGAUAGCGGCCGCUCUAGCUGUCCGCCCACUCCACGCUCCCACGCCACCCCUUAAGACAGGGGUUACUCCGGAAGGCUUGUUGCAGAAAAAAGACCCAUGGUUAUGAAAAUGAUAGACAAUUUAUAAAGCAGUAACACAUAUAGAAAAAACUGUAAAUAAAUAAGCAUCUAUCAAAUUAUAAAAAAACAUAAACAAAAUAAAAAUCAAAUAAAACAAACAAAACACAUAAAAACCUCAACCGAAAAUCCUAAAAGUCAACAAGAUCAAGUACUAGCUCGAACCCGUAAUUUCUCAGCGGAGUCGCCAGAGAUGUCAUACCCCAUUUUUUUAAUCAAACAAAGUUCAACUAAACCCUCUUAAACAUAUAAAAGAUUUUAGUAAAAGCUUGAAAAGAUUUUCAAUUAGAAAAGUGAAAAAAGAUGUGUUUAAAAGGAUUAACUCAGAGUCACCACCUGACAUUGGAUUUCGGUGUGCCAGGCCACCAGUUCUUCAAAAUAUUUUCCUUUUAAAACAAUUGGACUCAAAACUAAGUCCGCACCAGAGAUUCGGGUAAGGGGUUCAUUUGACUCGGGGAGAAGGUGUGAGACACUUUCCAGGUACCGUGAAGGCCAAAGUUGCGUACUCGAUCAGGUUGGCUUUUAAAACAUUCAAAUUGAGGUAAAACACACCGAAUUAAAGUAAACACACAAGAGGCUCUAGGUCGUCCCCGGCCUAAACAAAAGAAAAUAAAAAGGAAAUGAAGAGAAAAUCCUAAGCUAACCUAUACUACGGCUUCUCCACCAUGCUCGCCAAGGUCUCCAACAUAUUUACAUAGUUCUUCGGGGCAUAUCUCGUAUAAUAAUAUAUACAAACUUCACGAGGCAUUUCCCGAAUAAAUUUAACUACGGAAAUGACCUCUCGCCUCAAACUAACAAAAAUCCUAAAAUUUUCCUACCAAUGUAUGGUCGGCCUAAGCAUGCUCCUAUCGAUCAAAUCAGUAAAAUAAAAUAAUAAAUGUAUAACAUUCAAAUCUCCAUUUAUUUCUUUUAUUCCAGCACCACGUCCCAACUUCAUUUCACUGAUCUUGACCAAAAUUUCUUUUCGAAUGUUUGUCAAGCCACAACCCAUUUUGAUUCGAUGCUUUCAAAGCACUACUUCCUCACUCUUUCUUUUAACUGGGUUAGUAACAAUAAAACGAUUCUACAAUAAUUCUCAAAUGGGAAACAACAGAAAUUCCAACCAGACAAAUGUAUGUAUAAUCUCAAUAACAUAUGGUUUCAAUUCAUAAACACAACAACAAAUACACACAUAGUUGAGGAGAAGAGUAAGAAAUAAACCUCAGUAUAGAUGGAAAUUGAUUACUUCCCCGUUUGAACUCAAAAAUAUGACAAACUGUGGACGGUACUCGAACAAACCAACCCCAAAUAGCAAUUCCAAUCAAUCGGAUCUGAAUCCAGUUCCAACACAUAAAGAAUUUUAGGACCCAAAAUCUGAAAAUAAAAAGAUGAACAGAAUUUUCUUUUCUCAAUUCGUUUUUUGUCUCUUUACUUUCUUUUCCCGUUUGUUUGACUUUGUCUGUGUACAGUUUGGCGAUCAGAUGAGUUGUGUGUGAUUCCUUGGUUUUUGAGUGGAGGAGCUGAUGGUGGGUUCGAGUGGUAAGUGACUGUGUUAUUCCGGCGAGCUUGUCACUGUUUUUACUUGAUUUGCGGCGAACUGUGGUGGUCUCGAUAGCUUUCGCUACCUGAGUUUUGGAGAAGAUGAAGUGACGGGGGUGUCGUUUGGUCGAAGAAUAAUAGCGAUGGGUGCAGGUUCUAUUGCGGUUGUCCUUGGUGCAACUCUACUAUUCAGAUUUUUCGGCCUUCAUUUUUCAGAUUGUCGGCGUUACUUUUGGUCUCUCCCUUGAAAAAGCCGAGCUCCU